rnacentral:rRNA from 1 species
UACGUAGGCAGCGAGCGUUGUUCGGAGUUACUGGGCGUAAAGAGUGCGUAGGCGGUUUUCUAAGUUUGGUGUGAAAUCUCCCGGCUCAACCGGGAGGGUGCGCCGAAAACUGGGAGGCUAGAGUGCGGGAUGGGAGAGUGGAAUUCCUGGUGUAGCGGUGAAAUGCGUAGAUAUCAGGAGGAACACCGGUGGUGCAGACGGCUCUCUGGACCGUAACUGACGCUGAGACACGAAAGCGUGGGUAGCAAACAGG